GUGGCGGCAUCAGCUGAGAUUUGCAGUGGAUUUAAAUGCAAUAACCACACAAUCUUUAAAGAAAAUAGGAAUAAAAUAAGAGACAAGGCAUUGCUUCUCCCUUUUACGAGAAUAUGAGGACAUUAAAUAGCAGAAAACAGACGAUUUGCACCAGAUCCGUAGAUCCAUCACUGCACUGUAAUUCGAGGCCAGCUGUUGUCCAGAGUUUCAGUCUUAAAGAAUGAACAAAUAAAAAAUGCAUCAUUUCUCCACAGGGCCUAGCCAUUCCUAACCGUAGGACAAAUGGAUACAUUCAGGCAGCAAGUUAAUCUACCAUUUAAGGAAAAUGGUAUGCUCAAUAUUAGCUAUAAACCAUGCAAAGUUUUGAUAAUAAAAAUAACAGAAGAAUUGAAAACAUGUAUAUGCACCUUAUUUUAAUUGUUUCAAUGCAUUUGUUUAUUUCAUUUUUUUUAAACACAAAUUACUUUCAAUAAUGGUAUUUCCUGAUUUUCUUAUAUUUUCAGAAUUCAUUUUAUCCACAAGAACAAGAAGUGAUGGAAAUAAUUUGCACCUGCCCAGCAUUCCUACAGUCUGUCAUUGGAUUUGAAAAGAAAUGUUUAUUAAAUAAAUUUUCUAGAUAAAUAAUAA